rnacentral:rRNA from 1 species
AGUGGGGAAUCUUGCGCAAUGGGCGAAAGCCUGACGCAGCAACGCCGCGUGCGGGAUGAAGGCCUUCGGGCUGUAAACCGCUUUCAGCAGGAACGAAAAUGACGGUACCUGCAGAAGAAGGAGCGGCCAACUACGUGCCAGCAGCCGCGGUGACACGUAGGCUCCAAGCGUUGUCCGGAUUUAUUGGGCGUAAAGAGCUCGUAGGCGGUUUAGUAAGUCGGGUGUUAAAACUCUGGGCUCAACCCGGAGAGGCCAUCCGAUACUGCUGUGACUUGAGUUCAGGAGGGGAGCGGGGAAUUCCUAGUGUAGCGGUGAAAUGCGCAGAUAUUAGGAGGAACACCGGUGGCGAAGGCGCCGCUCUGGACUGAAACUGACGCUGAGGAGCGAAAGCAUGGGUAGCAAACAGGAUUAGAUACCCUGGUAGU